rnacentral:rRNA from 1 species
UACGUAGGGUGCGAGCGUUGUCCGGAAUUAUUGGGCGUAAAGAGCUCGUAGGCGGUGUGUCACGUCGGCCGUGAAAACCUGCAGCUUAACUGUGGGCGUGCGGUCGAUACGGGCAUCACUGGAGUUCGGCAGGGGAGACUGGAAUUCCUGGUGUAGCGGUGAAAUGCGCAGAUAUCAGGAGGAACACCGGUGGCGAAGGCGGGUCUCUGGGCCGACACUGACGCUGACAGCGCGAAAGCCAGGGGAGCAAACGGG